UACGUAGGGGGCAAGCGUUGUCCGGAAUCAUUGGGCGUAAAGCGCGUGUAGGCGGCCAGAAAAGUCCGCUGUGAAAACUCGAGGCUCAACCUCGAGCUGUCGGUGGAAACUUUCUGGCUAGAGUCCGGAAGAGGAGAAUGGAAUUCCUGGUGUAGCGGUGAAAUGCGCAGAUAUCAGGAGGAACACCGGUGGCGAAGGCGGUUCUCUGGGCAUUACCUGACGCUGAGGAGCGAAAGUGUGGGGAGCGAACAGG
rnacentral:rRNA from 1 species